rnacentral:rRNA from 1 species
UACGGGGGAGCAAGCGUUGUUCGGAUUUACUGGGCGUAAAGGGCGCGUAGGCUGCUCGCUAAGUCGGGUGUGAAAACUCUGGGCUCAACCCAGAGCCUGCAUUCGAAACUGACGAGCUAGAGUUCUGGAGGGAAGCGGAAUUCCUGGUGUAAGCGGUGAAAUGCGUAGAUAUCAGGAGGAACACCGGUGGCGAAGGCGGCUUCUGGACAGAAAUGACGCUGAGGCGCGAAAGCUAGGGGAGCAAACAGG